AAUUUAAUUCAACUAAAAUAGCUCAUUAGAGAUUUUAUAAAAAAAAAAAAAACAAGCCAACGAACAAAAAAACAAAAAUGUUAUAUGAACUUCACAAUCUAUCCAUGAUUUCUUCUAGAAACACAUCUCUUCAAGUGUUAUAUAUAUAAACACACAAAAAAAAAAUAUAAUAUCAGAGCCAUAUAUACGUGAGAAAAUAGAAAACACAAAAAUGAGAGAAACAAGAAGAAAAAUAAUUUUGGGUUGGAGAUAUACGUACCUGGAGCUGAUUCACUGAUACCAAUAAAUAUAACUUGAUUCACAUAAAGUUAACUUCUAUGGUUGGCAUCCUUCAAAGAAGAACUUCUGGGAAAAUUGUUGUUUUUGGACAAUUCUCUUGGAAGGAUACGUGUGAUCACGUCUAAAAUUUUUUUGUUUGUGUUAUGCAAAACUUGGAUAAGAAUUUCUGAAAAAAAUUAUAUUAAAAAAGGGGUUCUCUAAUUUUAUAUACAACAAUUUUAAUUAAGUAGUUUCGGAGAGAUGGUGGAGUGUUGGAAUAGUGGAAAUGAUUUUUUUAAUUUUUCAAAAACCAGUUUUUAUAUACAACCGAAGAAAAUAAUGAAAGGUGAGGAAUUUAAGGAAUAAGGAAUAACAGUUUUUUGACAUUUAAAAAAUAGAACACAAUCUUGAUUCCAAACAGAAAUAUUUGUGAAUAUAAUUAUAAACAAAAAAUGAUAAAUUUAGUAUGGAUAAGAUUUGUCAUAUAUUGCUUAAUUAUUUUCAACUACUUCUGCAGCUUUUACAAAAAUGUUACUUAAAAAUACAAUUAUUUAAAACAAAUUUUAAUUAUAUAGAUUACGAAUGAGUGGAUAAAUGACUCAAAACAGGUACAAAAAUACAAUAACUAAGUGGCAUUAUUUGCUGUAGCCAAACACAUGAAAAUCAAAAGGUAAUAAAAUUCAAAAUUCAAACCCUAGAUCUUUAAGAAAAUCCAAAAUCCAAACCCUAGAGAUUAUCAAACUAUCAUAAACGGCAACCUUAAUUCCAUUCCAAACCAUAAUUCGAUGCAAAAGGAGGAAAAAUCAAAACUUUAAUUUUAUUUCAAUCCAACUUGAAACUUACCUCUGGAGCUUAAAUGGACGUCAGAAAACUUGGAUCCGGCGGCAGAUGCGGAAGAUUCGGGGGCGUAGGCGGAGGUUUAUCGGCACUGUUAUUCGACAGAAAAGGAGAGAAGAAUGAAAGAGAGAAGAAAAAGAGAGAAGAAAGAAAUGUAAUUUAUUGAGAAAAAAAGAAGAGAGAAUUAAAAUACAGAAAUACAAAGAAAAUUAAAAGUAAAUACAAAAGGAAAUAAAUAAAUACAAGAGUUAUUACCAAUAAACGUGGAAUGUGUGGAAAAUGUAUUGUGGGCCCCAGACAAAAGACUGCGAAGAAGGCAUAGUUGUCCCAUAUUUGGGUUUUGAUUAACAUCAUCAAUUCACAUGGAAAAAUUUUUACCAAUCCAUGAAUUUGUAAGUUGUUCUUUAAGUUUUGAGAAAAAAAAAAUUGGGAUUAGAGAAGGGAGGAAGGAAGAAGACAAAGAUGCAAUUUUUUUUUG
rnacentral:sRNA from 1 species